AGUGAACGCUGGCGGUAGGCCUAACACAUGCCAGUCGAACGGCAGCACAGUAAGAGCUUGCUCUUACGGGUGGCGAGUGGCGGACGGGUGAGGAAUACAUCGGAAUCUACUUUUUCGUGGGGGAUAACGUAGGGAAACUUACGCUAAUACCGCAUGCGACCUACGGGUGAAAGCAGGGGAUCUUCGGACCUUGCGCGAUUGAAUGAGCCGAUGUCGGAUUAGUUAGUUGGGGGGUUAAAGGCCCACCAAGGCGAGGAUCCGUAGCUGGUCUGAGGGGAUGAUAGGCCACCCGGGAAUGGAGACACGGCCCAGCCCCCUAGGGGAGGCAGAGGGGGGGAAUUUGGGGAAAUGGGGGAAAGCUUGACCCAGCCAACCCGGGGGGGUGAAGAAGGCUUUCGGGUUGUAAAGCCUUUUUGUUGGGAAAAAAAACCGGGGGGUGAAAACCCCGCUUUUUGGGGGGGCCCCAAAAAAAAAGCCCGGGCAAACUUCGG
rnacentral:rRNA from 1 species